rnacentral:rRNA from 1 species
CGAGGCCGAAAGGCGUAGGUGAUGGACAACUGGUUGAUAUUCCAGUACCACUACCAUCGUUAUUAUCGAUGGCGUGACGCAGGAGGAUAGUGUGUGCUAGCUAUUGGAUGCUAGUCUAAGCGUUUAGGCAGUGAGAGUAGGCAAAUCCGCUCUCAUAAUGCUGAGGCGUGAUGGGGAAGGUUCUACGGAACCGAAGUACAUGAUUCCACGCUGCCAAGAAAAGCGUCUAGAGAGAGAAGUAGUGCCCGUACCGCAAACCGACACAGGUAGGUGAGGAGAGAAUCCUAAGGCCGGCGGAAGAAUUACAGUUAAGGAACUCGGCAAAUUGACCCCGUAAGUUCGCGAGAAGGGGUGCCUACGAGAGUAGGCCGCAGAGAAUAGGCCCAAGCAACUGUUUAGCAAAAACACAGGUCUCUGCUAAAGCGUAAGCUGAUGUAUAGGGGCUGACGCCUGCCCGGUGCUGGAAGGUUAAGGGGAACACUUAGCGCAAGCGAAGGUGUGAACUUAAGCCCCAGUAAACGGCGGCCGUAACUAUAACGGUCCUAAGGUAGCGAAAUUCCUUGUCAGGUAAGUUCUGACCCGCACGAAUGGCGUAAUGACUUGGGCACUGUCUCAACUGUAAAUCCGGCGAAGUUGUAGUGCGAGUGAAGAUGCUCGCUACCCGCGAUUGGACGGAAAGACCCCGUAGAGCUUUACUGUAGCUUAGCAUUGAGUUUUGGUAUUGUCUGUACAGGAUAGGUGGGAGACUAGGAAACCAGGGCGUCAGCCUUGGUGGAGUCAACCUUGGGAUACCACCCUGACAGUACUGAAAUUCUAACUGGCGGCCAUGAAUCUGGUCACAGGACAUUGUUAGGUGGGCAGUUUGACUGGGGCGGUCGCCUCCUAAAAAGUAACGGAGGCGCCCAAAGGUUCCCUCAGAACGGUCGGAAAUCGUUCGAAGAGUGCAAAGGCAGAAGGGAGCCUGACUGCGACACCCACAAGUGGAGCAGGGACGAAAGUCGGGCUUAGUGAUCCGGUGGUACCUCGUGGGAGGGCCAUCGCUCAACGGAUAAAAGCUACCUCGGGGAUAACAGGCUGAUCUCCCCCAAGAGUCCACAUCGACGGGGAGGUUUGGCACCUCGAUGUCGGCUCGUCGCAUCCUGGGGCUGAAGUAGGUCCCAAGGGUUGGGCUGUUCGCCCAUUAAAGCGGCACGCGAGCUGGGUUCAGAACGUCGUGAGACAGUUCGGUCCCUAUCCGUCGCGGGCGUAGGAAAUUUGAGAGGAGCUGUCCUUAGUACGAGAGGACCGGGAUGGACUGACCUCUGGUGUACCAGUUGUUCCGCCAGGAGCACAGCUGGGUAGCUAAGUCGGGAAUGGAUAAACGCUGAAAGCAUCUAAGCGUGAAGCCAACCUCAAGAUGAGAUUUCCCAUAGCGUAAGCUAGUAAGAUCCCUUGAAGAACACAAGGUUGAUAGGUCGGGGGUGUAAGCAUGGUAACAUGUUCAGCUGACCGAUACUAAUAGAUCG